rfam:Daphnia pulex DAPPTscaffold_4311_Cont15619, whole genome shotgun sequence.
GGCCUGUUAGCUCAGUUGGUUAGAGUGCCGUGCUAAAAACGCGGAGGUCAUGAGUUCGUUCCUCUUACGGGCCA